UAACAUCGAUGUUUGACGAAACAUAGGUCUCUAAUUUCACAAUAUUGAGUUCUUGAGUCGCCGUUGGUUUCAAAUAUGUGCAAAAAAUAGGAAUCCUAAAAAUAACGACAAAAACUAACUUUUGCUGGAGGUACUUCUAAAAACUUAACAAUAACGGUGUUAAGUGCGCAAAAGAAUUAAAAUCGUCUGAAAAUACAACAAACAUGAAAGAUAGCCGGCUGCAAUGCAUAAAAUAAGUAAAGAUAACGAGGAAAUGGAACAGCAUGAACCAAAAAGGAUUGUUAUGGAAGCAUUAAUAUUUUUAUAAUUUUAAGCCUAGUACUCACAUCGACGAAAACUGCGAGCUUACUAUAGGAGUGAGCUAGAUGCAAACAGGUGGUUAAAGCUUAUCG